UUUAGGGAGACCAAUCUGGAUGUCACGGGCCAACCCAAAAAAAGGCAGUGACGAAAAGAAAAUCCCGAGGUCGGAACUUGGUGGCCAAAAAUUAACUUUCAAAUUAGCUUAGGUUCAUAAAUGGGCUAUUAGCUCAGGUGGUUAGAGCGCACCCCUGAUAAGGGUGAGGUCCCUGGUUCGGGUCCAGGAUGGCCCACUUCCGAAAAAAUUGGAAGGGCGCAACCAUGAAUCAAUUAGGAAAAAACGUCAGCAUCGGUGAUGAGAAAGACAUCAAGAAUGCUGGAGUCAAUCCAGUAAGCACCUUGAAAACUGCAUAGAUUAGUAGGUAGAAAAAAUUGUUAUCAAAAGAGUCUUGGUGAGAAUCAGGAAAUCUUCACAACAGUUAAGAUCGUGAAAAUUGGUCAAGCUACAAAGGGCUAACGGUGGAUACCUAGGCACACAGAGGCGA
rnacentral:tRNA from 1 species